GAUUGUUACAGUUUGCGACUCCCGGAGCUCUAUAUAUUAUAAUUGUAUGUAUAAUAUCACGGCCAACAGCUCUGUCGCCUCCGGAUGGCCGUAGCGCGGGGAGCUCUCAUAGGGAUUGGGCUUCUCGGGAUUUGUUUACCGGCAUUGCUAUGGUUUCCGGUCUUGUGUGUUCCAACGGUUUAAAAGGACUGGAAUCGCACGUGGAAUACGCCCAACCCAGACCUGACCCAGUGCUUCCAGAAUAGUGCACUGGUAUGGCUGCCUUGCCUUUACUUCUGGCUGUGUACCCCAGGCUACCUCAUCUACCUCCACCGCCAUGACCGGGGGUACAUCUGCAUGAGCAGCCUCAACAAAGCCAAAACCGCGGUUGGUUUUCUUCUAUGGCUCAUCUGUUGGGCAGAUGUUUUAUUUACUUUCUAUGAGAAAAACCGGGUCAGUAAUGGGCCUCCAUCCGUCUACCUGGUCAGCCCUACUCUACUGGGCAUCACUAUGGUG